rnacentral:rRNA from 1 species
CCUACGGGAGGCAGCAGUGAGGAAUAUUGGUCAAUGGGCGGAAGCCUGAACCAGCCAAGCCGCGUGAGGGAUGAAGGUUCUAUGGAUUGUAAACCGCUUUUAUAAGAGGGUAAACUCCGGUACGUGUCCCUUUUUGUAUGUACCUUAUGAAUAAGGAUCGGCUAACUCCGUGCCAGCAGCCGCGGUAAUACGGAGGAUCCGAGCGUUAUCCGGAUUUAUUGGGUUUAAAGGGUGCGUAGGCGGGCUUUUAAGUUAGCGGUGAAAGCCCGUGGCUCAACCGUGGAAUUGCCUUUGAAACUGUGAGGCUAGAGUGUGUUUGCGGGAGGCGGAAUGUGUGGUGUAGCGGUGAAAUGCUUAGAUAUCACGCAGAACACCGAUUGCGAAGGCAGCGUACCAAGC